GACGAACGCUGGCGGCGUGCUUAACACAUGCAAGUCGAACGGAAAGGCCCUGCUUUUGUUGGGGACUCGGGUUGCUAACGUGUGGGUAACGCGUGAGUAACCUGCGCGUUACGCUGGGAUAACUGCAAUAAACUUGGGCUAAUAGCUGUUAUUAGCGCCAGCUGCAUGGGGUGGUGUGGGAAGUGUGGGCGGUUGGGGAAGGAGUCGCGGCUGAGCAGCUUGUUGGUGGGGUAGUGGCUUAGCAAGGCGUUGACGGGUGGCCGGCCGGAGAGGGUGACCGGCCACAUUGGGCAUGAGAUGACGCCCAGCAUCAUACGGGAGGCAGGAGUGGGGAAUAUUGCCCAAUGGGAGGAAGCCUGAUGCAGCAACGACGCGUGCGGGAUGACGGACUUCGGGUUGUCACCCGGUUUCGCCUGUGUCGAAGGGUGAGUGACGGUAAUGGGUAAAGAAGCACCGGCUAACUACGUG
rnacentral:rRNA from 1 species